rnacentral:rRNA from 1 species
GAUGAACGCUGGCGGCGUGCCUAAUACAUGCAAGUCGAGCGAACGGACGAGAAGCUUGCUUCUCUGAUGUUAGCGGCGGACGGGUGAGUAACACGUGGAUAACCUACCUAUAAGACUGGGAUAACUUCGGGAAACCGGAGCUAAUACCGGAUGAUAUUUUGAACCGCAUGGUUCAAAAGUGAAAGACGGUCUUGCUGUAACUUAUAGAUGGAUCCGCGCUGCAUUAGCUAGUUGGUAAGGUAACGGCUUACCAAGGCAACGAUGCAUAGCCGACCUGAGAGGGUGAUCGGCCACACUGGAACUGAGACACGGUCCAGACUCCUACGGGAGGCAGCAGUAGGGAAUCGUCCGCAAUAGGCGAAAGCCUGACGGAGCAACGCCGCGUGAGUGAUGAAGGUCUUCGGAGCGUAAAACUCUGUUAUUGGGGAAGAACAUAUGUGUAAGUAACUGUGCACAUCUUGGCGGUACCUAAUCAGAAAGCCACGGCUAACUACGUG